rnacentral:rRNA from 1 species
CUUGCUCCCUGGGUGACGAGCGGCGGACGGGUGAGUAAUGUCUGGGAAACUGCCUGAUGGAGGGGGAUAACUACUGGAAACGGUAGCUAAUACCGCAUAACGUCGCAAGACCAAAGAGGGGGACCUUCGGGCCUCUUGCCAUCAGAUGUGCCCAGAUGGGAUUAGCUAGUAGGUGGGGUAAUGGCUCACCUAGGCGACGAUCCCUAGCUGGUCUGAGAGGAUGACCAGCCACACUGGAACUGAGACACGGUCCAGACUCCUACGGGAGGCAGCAGUGGGGAAUAUUGCACAAUGGGCGCAAGCCUGAUGCAGCCAUGCCGCGUGUGUGAAGAAGGCCUUCGGGUUGUAAAGCACUUUCAGCGAGGAGGAAGGUGGUGAGCUUAAUACGCUCAUCAAUUGACGUUACUCGCAGAAGAAGCACCGGCUAACUCCGUGCCAGCAGCCGCGGUAAUACGGAGGGUGCAAGCGUUAAUCGGAAUUACUGGGCGUAAAGCGCACGCAGGCGGUUUGUUAAGUCAGAUGUGAAAUCCCCGGGCUCAACCUGGGAACUGCAUUUGAAACUGGCAAGCUAGAGUCUCGUAGAGGGGGGUAGAAUUCCAGGUGUAGCGGUGAAAUGCGUAGAGAUCUGGAGGAAUACCGGUGGCGAAGGCGGCCCCCCUGGACGAAGACUGACGCUCAGGUGCGAAAGCGUGGGGAGCA